UAUCGCCCCCGCUCGACGGAAUGCGCCAAAACGGCGUGGUACUAUCUAUGCCGUAGGCAGUGCAGGAGUGCAGGGCCUCGCUUCGCUUGCUUGCAUGGAAUCGCAAAGACCACGAAAAAACGGCAGCUAUUGCUGCGUGGUAGGGUGCCACAACAGUAAGGUGAACGUGAGGGGGAAACAGCCUCGUGUGAAGUUUUAUAAAUUUCCGAACAAGUGGUUCGAACAAGGGCGUCGGCGACAAUGGAUAGCGGCUGUACGAAGAGUGAACCCGGAUGGCACUCCUUGGGAGCCAAGCCAGACGACUGUCAUCUGCAGUUGCCACUUCGUCGGCAACGAAAAAAGCGCUGACCAGACGCAUCCUUCCUACGUCCCCUCAGUAUUUCCAGCGAUGUACAAAGCCAAAUCCGUCGUGGGAUUGGCGCCUGUUGAGCGUUAUGAAAGACUCAAGCGGCGAUCUCAACGUAAUGG